rnacentral:rRNA from 1 species
GAUGAACGCUGACAGAAUGCUUAACACAUGCAAGUCUACUUGAACUUCGGUUUGGGUGGCGGACGGGUGAGUAACGCGUAAAGAACUUGCCUCACAGUUAGGGACAACAUUUGGAAACGAAUGCUAAUACCUGAUAUUAUGAUUUUAGGGCAUCCUAAAAUUAUGAAAGCUAUAUGCGCUGUGGGAGAGCUUUGCGUCCCAUUAGCUAGUUGGAGAGGUAACGGCUCACCAAGGCGAUGAUGGGUAGCCGGCCUGAGAGGGUGAACGGCCACAAGGGGACUGAGACACGGCCCUUACUCCUACGGGAGGCAGCAGUGGGGAAUAUUGGACAAUGGACCAAAAGUCUGAUCCAGCAAUUCUGUGUGCACGAUGACGUUUUUCGGAAUGUAAAGUGCUUUCAGUUGGGAAGAAAAAAAUGACGGUACCAACAGAAGAAGUGACGGCUAAAUACGUG